UACGAAGGGUGCAAGCGUUACUCGGAAUUACUGGGCGUAAAGCGUGCGUAGGUGGUUCGUUAAGUCUGCCGUGAAAGCCCCGGGCUCAACCUGGGAAUGGCGGUGGAUACUGGCGGACUAGAGUGCGGUAGAGGGUGGUGGAAUUCCCGGUGUAGCAGUGAAAUGCGUAGAGAUCGGGAGGAACAUCUGUGGCGAAGGCGGCCACCUGGACCAGCACUGACACUGAGGCACGAAAGCCAGGGGAGCAAACAGG
rnacentral:rRNA from 1 species